AUGGCCAGCCGACUCCUCUCGCUCCGGCAGGCCACAAGGAGGUGGCGCUUCCGGCCUUCACCAUCUCCGCCCCAUUGCCCCUCGUCCGGUAGCGUAGAUGCGACGGCGCUUUCCCGCGGAACAAUGAAGCUCAGCGCACCACCUCCGCCUUAUACUUUUCACAAGGUUUUUGACCAAGACGACAGGUUCUUCAGUUGGCCACAAAGUUAUAACCUUCAAACAUGCCGUCCUGUCCAUACCAGUCUACCUGUUGAUAGUCAAAACCAAGAUAUGGCAACGGGUCCACAAAAUACUGGGGCCAUGGUAUCCGUUGAUGAUUCUGACAAACCAAAAGCGAAGAGGAAAAAACUUAAAGGAAAGAGGGCCGUAACAAGGUUUUUGAAAUCGUUGAGAUGGAAAAAGGAAAGGGAAUUUCAGAGAAUGACCGCUGAGGAGAAGAUUUUGAAAAAAUUGAAGCUAGCUCGAAGGAAGGAAGAACGACUUCUUGCAGCUUUGAAGAAAAUUGAGCCAAAUGAUCCUUCAGAACCCACACAUGAUCCUGAGGUUCUUACACCUGAAGAACACUUCUACUUCCUCAAGAUGGGCCAAAAAAGUAAAAAUUAUGUGCCUGUUGGAAGACGUGGAAUUUACCAGGGAGUGAUCUUGAACAUGCAUUUGCACUGGAAAAAGCACCAAACCCUACAGGUAAUUGUGAAGACAUUCACACCAGAGGAGGUUAAGGAAAUUGCCUCAGAGUUAGCAAUUCUAAGUGGUGGUAUUGUGCUCAGCAUUGAAGAAGGAAAUACAAUUAUUAUGUACAGAGGGAAAAACUAUGCACAGCCACCACCCGAGAUAAUGUCACCAAAGGUUGCACUUCCUAGAAAGAAGGCACUGGACAAAUCAAAAUAUAGAGAUCGCCUCCGAGCUCUUAGGCGGUACAUUCCCAGGCUUGAGCAGGAGCUUGAAGAUCAGCACGCCCGGAUGAAGUUAGUUGAAGUUAUAGGACAAAGUGCGGCCAAAGACAUUGCUUUUAUUUCAGACUCUACAAACAGUGUGUCCGUGAAUAAAGCUUCUUCUAGCUCAGUUCACAAGAGAACUGUAUCCGAACUCCUGUCAGAAAAUAUAGAAAGGUCUGAGAAGUUGGAGGAUGAAAAUUCUGAGGUUGAUGAUGAUUCAACUUCGGAGUCUAUUGCAUAUUCAGAAUCCGAGGAUCUCUCUGACAUGUUUGAGACAGAUUCAGAGGAGCAAGCAGAAGAUAGCAAGGAGCGUCCUUUGUAUCUGGAUAGGCUGGAUAAGUUUCUCCCAGAAAAAAAUGAUAACGAAGCAGACGAUUUUGAGGAGCAUCUGCGGAAGAUUGCUUCACUUUCUGAUAAGGCAGAUUCACCCGCAAAAGAACUGAAAAUCUCCGAGCUUGAUGAGAUUGAUAAAAUAUUCCUAAGAGCUAGUUCAUUGCUGAAGAAAAGGUGA
rnacentral:rRNA from 1 species